rnacentral:rRNA from 1 species
UACGUAGGGUGCGAGCGUUAAUUGGAAUUACUGGGCGUAAAGCGUGCGUAGGCGGUUCUGCAAGUCAGAUGUGAAAUCCCCGGGCUUAACCUGGGAACUGCGUUUGAAACUACGGGGCUAGAGUGUGGCAGAGGGGGGUGGAAUUCCAAGUGUAGCAGUGAAAUGCGUAGAUAUUUGGAGGAACACCGAUGGCGAAGGCAGCCCCCUGGGUUAACACUGACGCUCAUGCACGAAAGCGUGGGGAGCAAACAGG